rnacentral:rRNA from 1 species
AACGGACGCUGGCGGCAUGCCUAACACAUGCAAGUCGAACGAUGCCUUCGGGCAUAGUGGCGCACGGGUGCGUAACGCGUGGGAAUCUGCCCUUGGGUUCGGAAUAACUCAGAGGAAUUUGGGCUAAUACCGGAUGAUGACGUAAGUCCAAAGAUUUAUCGCCCAAGGAUGAGCCCGCGUAAGAUUAGCUAGUUGGUGGGGUAAAGGCCUACCAAGGCGACGAUCUUUAGCUGGUCUGAGAGGAUGAUCAGCCACACUGGGACUGAGACACGGCCCAGACUCCUACGGGAGGCAGCAGUGGGGAAUAUUGGACAAUGGGCGAAAGCCUGAUCCAGCAAUGCCGCGUGAGUGAUGAAGGCCUUAGGGUUGUAAAGCUCUUUCACCAGGGAUGAUAAUGACAGUACCUGGAGAAUAAGCUCCGGCUAACUCCGUGCCAGCAGCCGCGGUAAAGUCUGUACU